AUAUCCUGGAUUUGAAUGCCGUCAUCUUGUGCGUUUGAAGCCAGAGUCUGCACUGCCGUGGUCUGGGGAUGGAGCCGUGGUCGUGAGGUCCCGCCGAUACACACACUGGACCAAUCAUCUGCGUCAUGUGCCACCUGGAAAAUGUCCAACUGGAAAAACCAGAUCAUCCAGAGGCUGCGAUGGAUGACGCUUACUGAGCUGUGCUGAUAAAAGAGACUGGAGCCAGGACCAAACAGCUGUUGAUAUUGCCGUCAUCUUGACAAGGGCACGGACACUGCUGCCUGGUGCUUUAAGACACCGCUGCGCCUUCUGUUUUUGGAGGACUCGAGAUAUGAUUCAAAGCCCUGACAAUCGGAUGCAGAGGAGAGGAACAACAACUAUUUUGGGUACAACGGCCGCUCACCAAACACAGGAUGUUCCGAGUGAAGAUGGUACAGAG